rnacentral:rRNA from 1 species
AGAGUUUGAUCCUGGCUCAGAUUGAACGCUGGCGGCAGGCUUAACACAUGCAAGUCGAGCGGGGAUAGGGUGCUUGCACCUGAUUCCUAGCGGCGGACGGGUGAGUAAUGCUUAGGAAUCUGCCUAUUAGUGGGGGACAACGUUCCGAAAGGGACGCUAAUACCGCAUACGUCCUACGGGAGAAAGCAGGGGAUCUUCGGACCUUGCGCUAAUAGAUGAGCCUAAGUCGGAUUAGCUAGUUGGUGGGGUAAAGGCCUACCAAGGCGACGAUCUGUAGCGGGUCUGAGAGGAUGAUCCGCCACACUGGGACUGAGACACGGCCCAGACUCCUACGGGAGGCAGCAGUGGGGAAUAUUGGACAAUGGGGGCAACCCCGAUCCAGCCAUGCCGCGUGUGUGAAGAAGGCCUUUUGGUUGUAAAGCACUUUAAGCGAGGAGGAGGCUUACCUGGUUAAUACCCGGGAUAAGUGGACGUUACUCGCAGAAUAAGCACCGGCUAACUCUGUGCCAGCCGCGGC